rnacentral:rRNA from 1 species
GGAUUAGAUACCCUGGUAGUCCACGCCGUAAACGAUGAGUGCUAGGUGUUGCGGGUAUUGACCCCUGCAGUGCCGAAGUUAACACAUUAAGCACUCCGCCUGGGGAGUACGGUCGCAAGAUUAAAACUCAAAGGAAUUGACGGGGGCCCGCACAAGCGGUGGAGCAUGUGGUUUAAUUCGACGACGCGCAGAACCUUACCUGGGUUUAAACUGGAGCGGACCGGUGUGGAGACACACUUUUCCUUCGGGACUGCUUUAGAGGUGCUGCAUGGCUGUCGUCAGCUCGUGCCG